AUUGAACGCUGGCGGCAGGCCUAACACAUGCAAGUCGAACGAGUGGCGGACGGGUGAGUAAUGUCUGGGAAACUGCCUGAUGGAGGGGGAUAACUACUGGAAACGGUAGCUAAUACCGCAUACCAUCGGAUGUGCCCAGAUGGGAUUAGCUAGUAGGUGGGGUAAAGGCUCACCUAGGCGACGAUCCCUAGCUGGUCUGAGAGGAUGACCAGCAGCACUGGAACUGGGACACGGGCCAGACUCCUACGGGGGGGAGCAUGGGGGAAUAUUGCGCAAUGGGCGAAAGCCUGAUGCAGCCAGGCCGCGUGUGUGAAGAGGGCCUUCAGGGUGUAAAGUACUUUCAGCGGGGAGGCGUUACCCGCAGAAGAAGCACCGGCUAACUCCGUGCCAGCAGCCGCGGUAAUUC
rnacentral:rRNA from 1 species